GAUCCUGGUGAUGAUCAACGACAUGAUCAGCCGAUCCCCGUGUGGGAAUGAGGACAUGUCCUGCAAUUCUGAAGGGAUU